rnacentral:rRNA from 1 species
UACGGAAGGCAGCAGUGGGGAAUAUUGCACAAUGGGCGAAAGCCUGAUGCAGCUAUGCCGCGUGUAUGAAGAAGGCCUUAGGGUUGUAAAGUACUUUCAUCGGGGAGGAAAAAACAAAACUAAUAAUUUUAUUUCUUGACGUUACCCGAAAAAGAAGCACCGGCUAACUCCGUGCCAGCAGCCGCGGUAAUACGGAGGGUGCUAGCGUUAAUCAGAAUUACUGGGCGUAAAGAGCACGUAGGUGGUUUUUUAAGUCAGAUGUGAAAUCCCUGGGCUUAACCUAGGAACUGCAUUUUGAAACUGAAAUACUAGAGUAUCGUAGAGGGAGGUAGAAUUCAGGUGUAGCGGUGAAAUGCGUAGAUAUCUGGAGGAAUACCUGUGGCGAAAGCGGCCUCCUAAACGAAUACUGACACUGAGGUGCGAAAGCGUGGGGAGCAAACAGGGAUUAGAUACC